rnacentral:lncRNA from 1 species
GUGGGUCUCAGCACCCUCAGAUCAGUGGGGCUGAAGCAAGGAGAGAGAAGCCAUCAGUCUGUUUAAUCGGUUUCUAGGCAGCGCUCAUGCAGCCCUGGCUGGUUUCGAACUCGCAAAAUAGCCGAGAGUGACCUUGAACUUGACACUCUGCCUCCAGCUCCCGAGGGCUGGGGUUUCUUUCUGCCCGAGGAUGGAACCCAGGGCUUCGUGUAGGCUAGGCAAGCACUCGGAGCUACAUUUCCACCCUGCACCCAAUAACAGACAAACUGCUACAUUCCUCAUAAAACAUAUAUAUUUGAGGAAAUGGAGCCAGAAUCCACAGAUGUCAUUAUCCAUCUGCACACGUUUGUUUACCACCCAGAAGGCAAGAUUGCAUUUUAAAGUCUUGGAUGGUUAUUCUUUUUCAUCACGAGUGACUCCAGAAGCCCUGACCAUUCACA